GCCCAGAUGGCGGAAUUGGUAGACGCGCUAGAUUCAGGUUCUAGUCUGCUCUGCAGGUGGAAGUUCGAGUCUUCUUCUGGGCACCA
rnacentral:tRNA from 1 species